rnacentral:rRNA from 1 species
GCAAGUCGAGGGGUAGAUAAGUGCUUGCACUUAUUGAGACCGGCGAACGGGUGCGUAACACGUAUGCAACCUACCUUCAACUGGGAAAUAGCCCGAAGAAAUUCGGAUUAAUAUCCCAUAAUUUUACUUUAAGGCAUCUUUUAGUAAUUAAAGCUCCGGCGGUUGGAGAUGGGCAUGCGGUCCAUUAGUUAGUUGGUGAGGUAACGGCUCACCAAGACCACGAUGGAUAGGGGGUCUGAGAGGAUGAUC